UCAUUGUCUAGUGCUUGGAUUGAUGAUGUCAGUGCUCCACCCACUUAGGGGUGGAGCCAGGAUGUGAUGUAAUGGCAGGACGAAGGUGUGUCUUGCUCUUUGCUGGUGCCUGCUUGCUGUUGGCAGCCACCAUGAACUGCGGCCCAGCCAUGCCCGCCUGCCUUGGAGCCAACUAAGUGUGGACUGAAACCUCCCAAAACUGUAAGAAUUAAACCUUUCCUUUCCCAACUUGGGCUUCAGGUAUUUUAUCUCAGCAAGGAGUAAAAAGCAACUAAGACAAGACCAUAUCUAUGACAAAUACCCUGCAAUCUUAGAUGUUCACCAGAAUGAGGAGAAAAGGCAUUCUAGAAAGAUAAGCAGUGUAAGCUAAGGCACAAAAUGUGAAAGGCUCAGAGUUUUGGACGUGUUUCAGUGCGUCUCUAACUAUCCCUCUUUAUCACUGUAGAUGAAGAGGGAUAAAGUAGAUGACACAGAGAGAGGCCAGACUGUACUAGGCUUUAUAUGUCAUAUUUCAACAGAUAUUUUAUCUUGUCAUAGGCCCCAAAAGUGUUCCAGGAAAACAACUGGCAUGAUCAGCUUGGCAUAGUGGAUAACAAUUUGAAUAAAGCAGAAGUUGAACUAUGGCAAUCAUCCAAGGUUAGACUGUGCAGUAAAACAAAGCAACUGUAAUAACAAACAAGACAAAGUAAAACAACCAGUCAUCAAGAUGGAGCUGCAACCUAGUUACUUAGUCUAGACGACUAACCUGGCAAUUUUUCAUGGUGAAACCGAGGGAAACACGAAUGGGGGAAUUCCAUUUCUUUUGCAAGUGAUGGCUUAGGAAUGAGAUGUGAAAGCUUCCAGGGGACUUCUAGGAUGCAUUGUCUCUGUUCCUAUGAGAAAGUCAUCAUCUACAGCCAGCCUGAGAUUAAAGUUGCCAACAGUGGAAAGAUGAAUGGAAUUGAUGACAUCUUUAGCUUUUGACUUAAUCAAACCUAUAACCUUACCUACUUCUAGACUUUUUGUCAUGUGCAAUAAGUUACUUUAUCUUUAUUACUUUGGUUUGAGUUCUCCAUUACCUGCAAUUGAAAACAUCUUUCUUCUUUCUUUAUGCUAAGUAAAGUUGCAAAGAAGGAUCAUAAUGUAUUGGAAACUUAUAAACUAUUUUAUUA